rnacentral:snRNA from 1 species
GUGCUCACUUCGGCAGCACAUAUUCUAAAAUUGGAACAAUACAGAGAAGAUCAGCAUGGCCCCCAUGAAGGGUGACAGGCACAUUCGCCAAGUGUUCCAUAUUUUU